rfam:Gossypium raimondii chromosome 11, whole genome shotgun sequence.
GGGAUUGUAGUUCAAUUGGUCAGAGCACUACCCUAUUAAGGCGAAAUCUGCGGGCUCGAGCCCCGUUAGUCCCG